AGGGUAAAAGCUUUACAUAGCAACUAACUGUUAACUAGUAGACGGCGACUACCUCGCCUUACCCGC
rnacentral:tRNA from 1 species